rnacentral:rRNA from 1 species
AGGUUACUGCUAUCGAGGUUCGACUAAGCCAUGCGAGUCGAGUGUAGCAAUACAUGGCGUACUGCUCAGUAACACGUGGAUAACCUGCCCUUAGAACGGGGAUAAACCCGGGAAACUGGGUAUAAUACCCGAUAGAUCUCGAUUGCUGGAAUGCAUUGAGAUCCAAAGCUCCGGCGCUCAAGGAUGGAUCUGCGGCCUAUCAGGUAGUAGUGGGUGUAGCGUACCUACUAGCCUACGACGGGUACGGGUUGUGAGAGCAAGAGCCCGGAGAUGGAUUCUGAGACACGAAUCCAGGCCCUACGGGGUGCAGCAGGCGCGAAAACUUUACAAUGCUGGAAACAGCGAUAAGGGGACCUCGAGUGCCAGGUUACAAAUCUGGCUGUCGUGAUGCCUAAAAAGCAUUGCAUAGCAAGGGCCGGGCAAGACCGGUGCCAGCCGCCGCGGUAACACCGGCGGCUCGAGUGGUAACCGUUAUUAUUGGGUCUAAAGGGUCUGUAGCCGGCCGGAUAAGUCUCUUGGGAAAUCUGGCAGCUUAACUGUCAGGCUUUCAGGAGAUACUGUCUGGCUCGAGGCCGGGAGAGGUGAGAGGUACUUCAGGGGUAGGGGUGAAAUCUUGUAAUCCUUGAAGGACCACCAGUGGCGAAGGCGUCUCACCAGAACGGACCUGACGGCAAGGGACGAAAGCUAGGGGCACGAACCGGAUUAGAUACCCGGGUAGUCCUAGCCGUAAACGAUACUCGCUAGGUGUCGGCCACGGUGCGACCGUUGUCGGUGCCGUAGGGAAGCCGUGAGACGAGCCACCUGGGAAGUACGGCCGCAAGGCUGAAACUUAAAGGAAUUGGCGGGGGAGCACCACAACGGGUGGAGCUUGCGGUUUAAUUGGAUUCAACGCCGU